GAUGAACGCUGGCGGCGUGCCUAAUACAUGCAAGUCGAGCGAAAAGACGAGGAGCUUGCUCCUCUGACGUUAGCGGCGGACGGGUGAGUAACACGUGGAUAACCUACCUAUAAGACUGGGAUAACUUCGGGAAACCGGAGCUAAUACCGGAUAAUAUCUUGAACCGCAUGGUUCAAUAGUGAAAGACGGUUUUGCUGUCACUUAUCGAUGGAUCCGCGCCGCAUUAGCUAGUUGGUAAGGUAACGGCUUACCAAGGCGACGAUGCGUAUCCGACCUGAGAGGCUGAUCGCCCACACUGGAACUUAGACACGGUCCAUACUCCUACGGGAGGCAGCAGUAGGGAAUCUUCCGCAAUGGGCGAAAGCCUGACGGAGCAACGCCGCGUGAGUGAUGAAGGUCUUCGGAUCGUAAAACUCUGUUAUUAGGGAAGAACAAAUGUGUAAGUAACUAUGCACGUCUUGACGGUACCUAAUCAGAAAGCCACGGCUAACUACGUG
rnacentral:rRNA from 1 species